rnacentral:tRNA from 1 species
GCCUGGGUGGCUCAGUGGUUGAGCAUCUGCCUUUGGCUCAGGGCAGAUCCUGGCUGGGGUCCUGGGAUUGAGUCCCACAUCAGGCU